AACACUGUCCUUAUAACCAGCACUGAAAUUAAUACAAACGAGAUCGCCAACAGCUGCUGACUUUUAUAUCAUGUCGGUUUUUACUACCGGGAGCGAAAGGCAGGAAACAGGUAGAGUCUGUAUGCAGCAGCAGUGAGGACGUCUCACUUGUGGCUUCACCGCACGUCCCGGUGAAUCCUGGCAGGAUGUACGAGUGGUGAAUGCCAGUCAUGAUGGAUCUGGUUUGUGACGGAGACCCUGUCCCUGAAAAGCCACAGACAUUUGACAGGAGCCAGAAUGAUGACCAGUCUGUCUCAGCCAAGAUCCUGAUGUAUCUUUCCGUGAGGCCAUCUGCAGCCAUCAUGCUGAAUAUAAUUAGCUAAUUAAAAAUCCACACUUUCCCACUGUAACUCGCUUUGCCGCAUUUCACUGCUAAGUCCCUGCUGACAACUCUACUGUGACUAUGACUAAUGUUAACGACGUUUAGCCUCCUCUCCAGUCUAGGUAGACCAGUUACCACAGUCAUCCUUUAUCCUGUAGAACAUUUAUGAAUGGGACACUGUGAAUCUUUUGGAGACGUAUCUACUGAAUGGUAAAGACAGGAAUGGAUGACAUAUUUACUCACGCCUAAACGCCUAAAACAGGAUAAGAUGACUGAUAUUGUUCAUUAUGUUUAGUACUUACUGUGUAUAUGCUAUUCUUGACACACAAUGUACACUGCAUAACAUUCAGAAAUCUCUUUGGUUAUGCACUAACUGUAAUGUAAAAUGUCUGCCUCAGCCACACUGAGAAAUUAUACUUCACAGCUUAGUAUGUCGUACUGUAUCCCAGUUUUUGUUACAUGCUGAAUUUUGUAAUCACCACUUAGAGAUCUCACUAUUUAGUGCACUGUCUCACUUUGGCCACAACUAGUUUGUAUACCUAGAGUAUGUAUAUUUACUGUUUGCAGAAGGGUUGUUGUUAUUACCCGAUACUUGUAUUUUAUUUUAUGUUUACUUUAUCUAAUU